GUAGGUAGGGAGACAGUUCGGACCGUAGGUGUUUUAUCAGCGGAUUCUCAGGAGCACUCCACUUACUUCGGAGCUGCAGUCUAUUUGGGAGACGGAUCAGACCCGUAAGUAUUCUAUCAGCAGAUUCUCAGGAGCACUCCACUUACUUCGAAGCUGCAGUCUAUUUGGUAUUGGUCCUUAUGAUCAUUUGUAUUCUAUAUAGAGGCUCGUAGACGUGUGUGAACAAUUAGACAUUUUAUAGCUCCACCGGGUCAUAUUAUUGUAUAAUAUUUUGGUAACCUUGUCGGCUGGUGAUGACGAGCAUAAUUGUUGACGAUUAUAUAGAGAUGCACCAUUAUGUUA